CUGUUACCUGGAUUAUUUUACAUCUUCCUGCUAAAUUCUUAUUUUGAGCGAAUUUGAGUUGUUGGGUGUCAACCGAGAACAGAAAAAUGGAAUAUGGUCACAGAGGAAGACAUAGACGGGAGCUGUUUGAUCACCCCAGUCUAAAAAUGGGGAAAACAGACGAGACGUGUGAAAGUUGUAAAACUUGCCGGAAUGUAAUUAUGCCCAUUAAAAGUUUCACCAGCGGGUAACGGACAUAUCGCAAUCUGCUGAAGCAAAUGACCACAGCAGUGCAUCACCUGUGAGAUCAUGAGAAGGCUGAAGAACCAGGAGUGACAAGAUAUCACCAGAUGGUGGGGUACAGAAUUAAACCCAGGGACAGAUUUUUUUUAGAUCAAGCAUUGUAACAAGGUUUACGGGGAAGAACAGACACCCAACAGAGAGACAAGUCCAUCACUACAGGUGAAUGGCCUGCAGGUAGGAGUCCUGUAGCCAGCUGGUGUGGGUUUCGAUGCUGUGAUAUCAACUUUAUUUCAUAUUUAAAACAAUUCAAACAGCAGUGGAACAACCAUGGUUUGAGAACUGAGAGGCACCGGUCCCCUAUGCAGAUGUUUGUCCGCGGUUCCCUGGCACAGCAGAGGCGACUAACAACUGCAAUGCAGAACAUAUUUGGACCAAGACACUCAGACUUUUUAUUCUAUCACCGCAACACGCACAUCAUGGUGAUUUUGCUUACUAUCAAUGCCUCAAAAAAUUUUCACACAUUACACACUGUGAUACACAUCCAUUUCACAUUAUAUGUACUUUUCAUACUAAGCAUUCAGUCAGUACACUGGCCUUGAUCAACAUUGUUCAACAAAAGAACAGUCAAGGAAUUGCACAUUGCAACUCUUGCUCUGUCUAAACUGAAAUAUAUUUAUAUAUAUAUAUAUAUUUUUUUCUUUUUCUUUUUUUUUUCUCCCCAAUUUGGAAUGCCCAAUU